rnacentral:rRNA from 1 species
GAACCUUACCAGCCCUUGACAUCCCGGUCGCGGCCUAGAGAGAUCUAGGUCUUCAGUUCGGCUGGACCGGUGACAGGUGCUGCAUGGCUGUCGUCAGCUCGUGUCGUGAGAUGUUGGGUUAAGUCCCGCAACGAGCGCAACCCUCGCCCUUAGUUGCCAUCAUUCAGUUGGGCACUCUAAGGGGACUGCCGGUGAUAAGCCGAGAGGAAGGUGGGGAUGACGUCAAGUCCUCAUGGCCCUUACGGGCUGGGCUACACACGUGCUACAAUGGUGGUGACAGUGGGCAGCGAGACCGCGAGGUCGAGCUAAUCUCCAAAAACCAUCUCAGUUCGGAUUGCACUCUGCAACUCGGGUGCAUGAAGUUGGAAUCGCUAGUAAUCGCAGAUCAGCAUGCU